rnacentral:rRNA from 1 species
GACGAACGCUGGCGGCGUGCUUAACACAUGCAAGUCGAACGGAGGAUUUAUUUCGGUAAAUCCUUAGUGGCGAACGGGUGAGUAACGCGUGGGCAAUCUGCCCUUCAGAUGGGGACAACAUCCCGAAAGGGGUGCUAAUACCGAAUACGAUCACGCCGCCGCAUGGCGGAGUGAUGAAAGAUGGCCUCUAUUUAUAAGCUAUCGCUGAAGGAUGAGCCUGCGUCUGAUUAGCUAGUUGGUGGGGUAACGGCCUACCAAGGCGAUGAUCAGUAGCCGGUCUGAGAGGAUGAACGGCCACAUUGGGACUGAGACACGGCCCAAACUCCUACGGGAGGCAGCAGUGGGGAAUAUCCCGCAAUGGACGAAAGUCUGACGGAGCAACGGCGCGUGAGUGAUGAAGGUUUUCGGACUGUAAAACUCUGUUGUUUAGGACGAAAGUGCCUGUUGCGAACAGUUGCAGGUAUUGACGGUACUGAACGAGGAAGCCACGGCUAACUACGUGCCAGCCGCCGCCGUAA